GUCCACGGCCAUACCACCCUGAACGUGCCCCAUCUUGUCUGAUCUUGGAAGCUAAGCAGGGUCGGUACUUGGAUGGAAGAAUGUAGACU
ensembl:rRNA 5S_rRNA 5S ribosomal RNA